rnacentral:rRNA from 1 species
GGAAUUGACGGGGCCGCACAAGCAGCGGAGCGUGUGGUUAAUUCGAUGCUACACGAAGAACCUUACCCGGGUUUGACAUGCAAGUGGUAGUGAUCCGAAAGGUGAACGACCCGCAAGGGAGCUUACACAGGUGUUGCAUGGCUGUCGUCAGCUCGUGUCGUGAGAUGUUCGGUUAAGUCCGCUAACGAGCGCAACCCUCGCUGUAUGUUACAUGUGUCAUACAGGACCGCCGGUAUCAAGCCGGAGGAAGGUGGGGAUGACGUCAAGUCCGCAUGGCCUUUAUGUCCGGGGCUACACACACGCUACAAUGGUCGGUACAAUGGGUUGCUAAGCCGCGAGGUGGAGCCAAUCCCCCAAAGCCGGCCUCAGUUCAGAUUGCAGGCUGCAACUCGCCUGCAUGAAGCUGGAGUUGCUAGUAAACGCGCGUCAGCUAUAGUGCGUUGAAUACGUUCUCGGGCCUU